UACAGAGGUCUCAAGCGUUGUUCGGAUUCAUUGGGCGUAAAGGGCGCGUAGGCGGCUUUGCAAGUGACGGGUGAAAUCCCUCGGCUUAACCGAGGAACUGCCUGUCAAACUGCAUGGCUUGAGACCGGGAGAGGUGAGUGGAAUUCCCAGUGUAGCGGUGAAAUGCGUAGAUAUUGGGAGGAACACCAGUGGCGAAGGCGGCUCACUGGACCGGUACUGGACGCUGAUGGCGCGAAAGCGUGGGGAGCAAACAGG
rnacentral:rRNA from 1 species